UACGUAGGGGGCAAGCGUUGUCCGGAUUUAUUGGGCGUAAAGAGCGUGUAGGCGGUCAGGUAGGUCGGGUGUGAAAACUGGAGGCUCAACCUUCAGAGGUCGACCGAAACCCCCUGGCUAGAGUCCGGGAGAGGAGAGUGGAAUUCUUGGUGUAGCGGUGAAAUGCGCAGAUAUCAGGAAGAACACCCGUGGCGAAAGCGGCUCUCUGGAACGGUACUGACGCUGAGACGCGAAAGCGUGGGGAGCGAACAGG
rnacentral:rRNA from 1 species